AGUGAACGCUGGCGGCAGGCCUAACACAUGCAAGUCGAACGGCAGCACAAGAGAGCUUGCUCUCUGGGUGGCGAGUGGCGGACGGGUGAGGAGUGCAUCGGAAUCUGCCCAUUUGUGGGGGAUAACCUCGGGAAACCGGGACUAAUACCGCAUACGACCUACGGGGGAAAGCAGGGGAUCUUCGGACCUUGCGCAGAUGGAUGAGCCGAUGCCGGAUUAGCUAGUUGGAGGGGUAAAGGCCCACCAAGGCGACGAUCCGUAGCUGGUCUGAGAGGAUGAUCAGCCACACUGGGACUGAGACACGGCCCAGACUCCUACGGGAGGCAGCAGUGGGGAAUAUUGGACAAUGGGCGCAAGCCUGAUCCAGCCAUGCCGCGUGUGUGAAGAAGGCCUUCGGGUUGUAAAGCACUUUUGUUGGGAAAGAAAAGCAGCCGGUUAAUACCCGGUUGUCAUGACGGUACCCAAAGAAUAAGCACCGGCUAACUUCGUG
rnacentral:rRNA from 1 species